rnacentral:rRNA from 1 species
GAUGAACGCUGGUGGCGUGCCUAAUACAUGCAAGUCGAGCGGUCGGACGAGAAGCUUGUUUCUCUGAUGUUAGCGGCGGACGGGUGAGUAACACGUGGAUAACCUACCUAUAAGACUGGGACAACUUCUGGAAACCGGAGCUAAUACCGGAUAAUAUCUUGAACCACAUGUUUCAAGAGUGAAAGACGCUCUUGCUUUCCCUUAUAGAUAUAUCCGCGCUGCAUUAGCUAGUUGGUAAGGUAACGGUUUACCAAGCCAACGAUGCAUAGCCGACCUGAGGGGGUGAUCGGCCACACUGGAACUGAGACACGGGCCAGACUCCUACGGGAGGCAGCAGUAGGGAAUCUUCCGCAAUGGGCGAAAGCCUGACCGAGCAACGCCGCGUGAGUGAUGAAGGUUUUCGGAUCGUAAAACUCUGUUAGUAGGGAAGAACAUAUGUGUAAGUAACUGUGCACACCUGGGCGGUACCUAAUCAGAAAGCCACGGCUAACUUCGUG